UUUCCUACGGGACGCAGCAGUGAGGAAUAUUGGUCAAUGGGCGGGAGCCUGAACCAGCCAAGUCGCGUGAAGGAAGAAGGUACUUAGUAUUGUAAACUUCUUUUGUCGGGGAACAAAGGCGGAGACGCGUCUUCGGAUGGGUGUACCCGAAGAAAAAGCAUCGGCUAACUCCGUGCCAGCAGCCGCGGUAAUACGGAGGAUGCGAGCGUUAUCCGGAUUUAUUGGGUUUAAAGGGUGCGCAGGCGGGAGAUCAAGUCAGCGGUAAAACUUCGGGGCUCAACCCCCGCCGGCC
rnacentral:rRNA from 1 species